UAGGGAAUCUUCGGCAAUGGACGAAAGUCUGACCGAGCAACGCCGCGUGAGUGAAGAAGGUUUUCGGAUCGUAAAACUCUGUUGUUAGAGAAGAACAAGGACGUUAGUAACUGAACGUCCCCUGACGGUAUCUAACCAGAAAGCCACGGCUAACUACGUGCCAGCAGCCGCGGUAAUACGUAGGUGGCAAGCGUUGUCCGGAUUUAUUGGGCGUAAAGCGAGCGCAGGCGGUUUCUUAAGUCUGAUGUGAAAGCCCCCGGCUCAACCGGGGAGGGUCAUUGGAAACUGGGAGACUUGAGUGCAGAAGAGGAGUGUGGAAUUCCAUGUGUAGCGGUGAAAUGCGUAGAUAUAUGGAGGAACACCAGUGGCGAAGGCGGCUCUCUGGUCUGUAACUGACGCUGAGGCUCGAAAGCGUGGGGAGCAAACAGG
rnacentral:rRNA from 2 species